GCUCCAACUACAACCAGAGAAGCUCCAACUACAACAACAGCUGCUCCAACUACAAACACGGCUGCUCCAAUUAUCACUACAGCUGUUCCAACCACAACAGCUGCUCCGACCACAAGUAUAGCAGCUCCAGCAUUAAUAAGACAACUAACUUUUAAGUCCAAUGAAGUAUUCACCUCUGAUUUGGGAGACCCAUCAACAUCAGGAUUCCAAACACGCUCUGGACACAUAAUUAAUCGUCUUGACCCACUUUUCAGAAGAUCUUUCCCCUCAUUCCAAAAGACUGGAGCCAUGAGAUUCAGUGCUGGAUCAAUUAUCAACUCUGUGGACCUUGAAUUUCAGUCAUCAUCGUCUCCUAAUGAUACACUAAUUAAAGACAUUUUGGUUAAUGAGGCUUCAAACAUCACGGAAUUCAACGUACUAGCAGACACGGUUGCUAUUAGUGACCCAGCACCUCCAACCACAACAACAAUGGUUCCAACCACAACAACUGCUCCAUCCACAACUACAGUGGUUCCAACCACAACUACAACAACUCCAACCACAGCUGCUGCCACCACCACAACAGCUCCAACCACAA